rnacentral:rRNA from 1 species
AUGAACGCUGGCGGCGUGCCUAAUACCUGCAAGUCGAGCGCACGGACGAGAAGCUUGCUUUUCUGAUGUUAGCGGCGGACGGGUGAGUAACACGUGGAUAACCUACCUAUAAGACUGGGAUAACUUCGGGAAACCGGAGCUAAUACCGGAUAAUAUUUUGAACCGCAUGGUUCAAAAGUGAAAGACGGUCUUGCUGUCACUUAUAGAUGGAUCCGCGCUGCAUUAGCUAGUUGGUAAGGUAACGGCUUACCAAGGCAACGAUGCAUAGCCGACCUGAGAGGGUGAUCGGCCACACUGGAACUGAGACACGGUCCAGACUCCUACGGGAGGCAGCAGUAGGGAAUCUUCCGCAAUGGGCGAAAGCCUGACGGAGCAACGCCGCGUGAGUGAUGAAGGUCUUCGGAUCGUAAAACUCUGUUAUUAGGGAAGAACAUAUGUGUAAGUAACUGUGCACAUCUUGACGGUACCUAAUCAGAAAGCCACGGCUAACUACGUG